rnacentral:sRNA from 1 species
GAGGAUUCGUGAAAAUAUAUGGAAAGCCCUUGUCACAGUGCCUGGCACAUAGUGGUGCUUUAUCAUUAGGAACUGGAAUGAUUAAAUUCUGUCAAAGACAGUUUUAAUGUAAUAGGAAGGGGGGUGGCACAGGUGGAGUGUUGGAGUAGCGGGUGGUUUGCAGUUAAUGGAAUUUUAUCAGCCUUUCCCAUUUGUGUAGUCUGGGCAGGUUAGGAUUUCAGGGGUGGUUUGAAGGUGGGGCCGGAGGCUUGGGAGGGACCUAUGGAUAUCUGCAGGGAGGGCGUGACCAAGGCUGCCUGGAUGACGGCGGGGGACGGUGGAAUAUAUCUCCCCCUGCCCUCUCCACCUGCAUGUCCCAGGUCCAGCCCUGCCCAAGUUCUAUCAUUUCCCCACAGCGAAGGGGCAGAACUCAGGCACCUCGACACUCAGGUCCAGCGCUGUGAGGACAUCCUGCAGCAGCUGCGGGCCGUGGUACCCCAGAUAGACAUGGAAGGGGAUCGCAACAUCUGGAUCGUGAAGCCAGGAGCCAAGUCCCGCGGACGAGGCAUCAUGUGCAUGGACCACCUGGAGGAGAUGCUGAAGCUGGUGAACGGCAACCCCGUGGUGAUGAAGGACGGCAAGUGGGUGGUGCAGAAGUAUAUUGAGCGGCCCCUCCUCAUCUUUGGCACCAAGUUUGACCUCAGACAGUGGUUCCUGGUAACUGACUGGAACCCACUUACCGUGUGGUUCUACCGCGACAGCUAUAUCCGCUUUUCCACGCAGCCCUUCUCCCUGAAGAACCUGGACAACUCAGUGCACCUGUGCAACAACUCCAUCCAGAAGCACCUGGAGAACUCAUGCCAUCGGCAUCCACUGCUUCCGCCAGACAACAUGUGGUCUAGCC